rnacentral:rRNA from 1 species
GCAAUCUACCCAAUCCUGACACAGGGAGGUAGUGACAAGAAAUAACAAUACAGGGCGAAUGUCUUGUAAUUGGAAUGAUGGUGACCCAAACCCUCACCAGAGUAGCAAUUGGAGGGCAAGUCUGGUGCCAGCAGCCGCGGUAAUUCCAGCUCCAAUAGCGUAUAUUAAACUUGUUGCAGUUAAAAAGCUCGUAGUUGUAUUUUUGCGUUGACGGUUUGACCAUUUGGUUGGUUAUUUCGUUUUCGCUUUUGGGAAUUUCCCUUUUUACUUUGAGAAAAUUAGAGUGUUUCAAGCAGACUUUUGUCUUGAAUACUUCAGCAUGGAAUAAUAGAGUAGGACUUUGGUUCUAUUUUGUUGGUUAUUGAACCUUAGUAAUGGUUAAUAGGAACGGUUGGGGGCAUUUCGUAUUUAAAA